CUCUCAUAACUUCACUUUUCUACAAACCCUAAUCUUUCAUUCACUCCUUCAUUGUUCUUUGCAGAGUCGCGUAAACCACAAAGAUUGAAUCGGAUCACUUAUGUUCUUUUGUCUCUAUUAUUGAUAUCUUUCACACUUUCCUUUUUUCUCCAAACCCUAAACAAAACCCUUGCUGCAUCCGGUUCUUCCUUCGGCGAUUCAUCAAUAUUAAUCACAAGUAUGUUUUUCGCUCUUGAUCUUUGAUGUUUUUGUUCUUUGAUUCGAAUCGUGUUAAUCGUAUUAUUGGUUUUUUGUUUUUGAUCUCAUAAACACUACAUACUCAAUGUCUACAACAGUUCUUUUCUAUGGCUAUUCUUCAAUUGGUAACACAGGUCUGAUGUUCUUUUUUGAUUUUGAUGUUUUUGAUCUAUUCAUGUGAUAAAUCUUUGAUUUGUUGCUUUGGAUUUCACAAACCCUACAUAUUGUAUCUCUACCUAUUGUUCGUUAUUUUGGGCGAUUUUUCAAUUGUAAACAGAUGUAUGUUGUUUCUUCUUGAUCUUUGAUGUUUUCGGUUUAUUUAUGUGACAAGUAUUUGAAUCACAGAGCAUCAAUUUUUGGCAAUUUUUUCAGUUAGCGUAUCAAUUUUUUGGCAAUUUUUUUUCAUAUGAUUCUAAUCACAUUAAUCGUCUUUUUUUCCUUCUGAGAUCCAAUAAUCACAUUCUACAGCAAAAAAAGAGAUAGAUCUAAAAUGUUUUGAUGAUAGGUGUGUUUGGAAGGUUUAUAUGGAUCUAAAAUCUGAUAUGUAUGAAGCAAUUUGUGGAUGAAAAUGGAGAAUUCAUCUGAGUUUGGUUAUCAAGUUUUUGGUAGCUGUAGAGGGUUAAAUUCUUCAAAGGCUUGAAACAGAAAUUCCAUAUCAGAUCAUGAUUCUGUGAUAUCAGCAGACAUUGCAAGACCAGAUAAGACUGUGUUGACUUGAUUGAAUUGAGUUAGAACUCAGUUUGGUUACUUUCAUGAAGAUGUUGUGUGGUUAUUCGUUCGAUGGAGCAUAAAGAUAUUAGGAGUCAAUCCUUUUGCUAAGAGAAUUCAUAUAAAAAUGAGCGAGUCAAUAAACAAGAGAAAAAUCAGAAGCUACAAAAGUUGGUACUUUGCCAAGGUUUUAUGUUUUUUCGUACUUUCAUAUCAAUAUGCAGUUAUAGAUCUUAUCUUAAGUUAUAUUUAUAUGAAAUUUGAACCCCUCUUUCCCCUGUGGUCAUGUUCAACUUGCUACAACAACAUUGGCUUUAACUAGGACUCAAAUUGCACCAAGAAAGGCUAGCAAGGAUGACCAACAAAAUGUAGCAGAAAUGGCAGCAAUAUCGACUGCCAGUGGUGGUAAAUUUGACAAAAAGUUGGUUGGUGAAAAACCUCCCAAACAUGAAAAGAUAUACAUGAAGUUCUUACCUACGUCGAAGGAUCAUGAAUGGGUUCCUUAGAGAAGCAAUAAUUUGAUAAGAUUCCGCACAAGUUAACCAACAAUUCUGAUGAAGUUUUGAAUGUUGGAAAGGUAAUGAUAUUUAUACACUUUUCCAACAUUUUGUCACCUUAUAAAGGUAGCAAAUUUUGGUGUGUCUAAGUGUAGACGGGUAGUUUACGGCUGUGCUUUUCUUAAUAGGAUAAAAUAGGUGAGUGUAUAUAAUUGGUUAAAUUUGACAUGAUUCAUAAUCGGUUCGGUGGUUUAUGACAUGAGUGCGAUAUUAGCAGCGAAACUGACAAAAAGAUUGGGUUUUGGAAUGUCGCCACAGGUAACACUAUCAACACAUAUUCUCAAUUUCGCCACAGGUAACACUAUCAACACAUAUUCUCAUCGAUUUCAUUAAUUUGUUGUGUGAAUAUGUAAAUUUAUGAUAAGCUAUUGGAUUAGUUUUGUUGAUUAAGCGUUAUGCAAAUAUGAGCGAAUUCGGAUGAGAUUUUAAUAUUUUACCUACCGACUUUAUGGAUUUUUUGUACAAUUUCGAUGAAUGAUUGUGUAAUUGUUGAUAAUCAAUCUCAAUUUGGCGACAGGUAACGAAUAAUGAUACGAACACACAUUUUGUGAUUCUGUACCAAUGGAUCGAGUUGAGAUACGUGAUUUGGGAUUUUGCUUUUGUUUUUCCGUAUAAUUUCAAUUUCGAUGAUAAUCCAUUCGUGAUUUCGUUUGCGUAAGCGAUAUGCGAAGUGAUUUGAUUGUCUGAGUGUGUAAAUUGUUGAUAAUUGAUCGGAUUAGGUUUGAUAAUUCUGUGUGAUUUCAUUUUGCGUAAACCGUAAGCGUUUUGUACGUAUGAUUGAAUUUAGAUGAGAUUUUACUUUUGUUUAUAUGCAUCACCAUCUACACUCUCCGUAUCUGUCCUCGGUUAUGCAUAAAGUUAUCUAGGAUCUUAAUUCCAAUCGUUCGAUCUCAGUUUAGCAACAAUAGCAGCAUGAACACAUAUUCCGUGAUUGUAACAUUGAUCGAGUUUGAGAUCCGUGAUGUCUGAUUUUGCCUUUUGUUUUUGUAUAAUUUAGUUGAAUUUGUUGUGUGAUUGUGUAAAUUGUUGAUAAUUGAUCAAAUUAGGUUUGAUAAUUCAAUUUGAUUUUUGUUUGCUUAACCGUUAAACGAAUAUGAUUCAAUUCAGACUAGAUUUUGCGUAAAGAGUUUAUCGAUUAUUCGAUUGUUGUAACUUUUUGGUGGUCGGUAUAGAACAUGUUCCAAUUGAUCAAGUUUCGGGUCAAGCAUUACCCAUUAAUUCAGAUCUAUAUAAAAGCUUUUUUCUUUUUUGACAGCCUCCUUGUAGGAUCGUUUGCUGACCCAACGAGUCGUUCAGAAGAGCACUUAGACUAAUUCAGAGGCGGAAUUCAUUGAAUUAGUCUUCGUAAAGCUUGAUUUCACUACUUAACGUCUCCUGUAUUGAUUAUAUGUCAAAUUACAAGUCUGUGGAGACAAUCGGGCAGGGCUUCGCCGUUACACCUUAGAAAACACACACAUAAGCUCUGCUUGGAACCGCUCAUAUGACACCUAUAUAUAGGAGUCUUGGGCCGCUCAUAUGGACAAGUCCAUAUGAGCGAUCCAACCAAGUGAUAUAUGAGCGAUCCACUUGAUUGCCACAUAAGCGACCCACCUAUUCUACCCUAUAAGCGGCCCUCAACAAUACAAGAUUUCUCGUUGACUGUUCACUAUACAAUCAGCCCUAUCCUAAGACUCGAAUUAAGAUGUAGUCGACAGACAACUGCACCAACACUCCUUUACUACAUGCUCCAUCUCUCCGCCUCUCCUCUUCCUAACCUUAAUCGGUAUGUAUUUUAAUCUCAAAAUGGAGCUUAAAGUGAUAAUUCUCAGUUUAACACAUGCGAAAUUUUUUGGUCCGAUGCAACGAUUGAAAACAUUCAGGUAAGUUUUCUUUUGAUCUAUAAUCUAAUCCACGUAUACGAUUGAAAACAUUUAGGUAAGUUUUCUUUUGAUCUAUAAUCUAAUCCACGUAUGUUUUUUGGUAUAGAUCUGGGUACAAAACAUGAGGCUAUUGAGAUGUUGGUUGCCUGUGGAUGUGAGAUGAAUGUCAGUGAUGGUUUCGAAUACUCGCCAGUUUUCCACAUGACUUCUACAAUUAGGUUCUAUAAAGAAGUGAUUGGAAGAAUAUGGCUACUCAAAGUGAAGUUGGAGCAAAAGGUGCUACUACUAGACCGCCUCCCAAUCCAUACAUUUUACGGAUUGUUAAGAUUUUUGAGGACCAGAUGGGCACUCUUGCAAUCGAUAUUGAAUCCGAUACAACUGUCCCAGAACCCCCAAUUGGCCUCCAGCACAGCUCGAAAUCUCCAGCGAUGAAAUGAAAAGGUUCUAAAAAGCACUCUUCUGUCUGUUUUCUUCACAACACUCUGUCGUGAAUGGUCAGGCAACAAUGUGCUCAGGCAGAAUGAAUACUUGGAAUAAAUGCACAAAACAUUUAAGAAGAAGAUGUUAGGAAGCAACUUAACAAAGGGUUUGUCCCACAUUGGAUAGAUGUUCGUUGUUUAGCAGCCUUGAUUAAGGAAGUAAGAUGCGUGUGAAAAAAAAACGCUUUUUGGAUGGCUGCAGCCUAGGAAUACUAUACAGCCGAAAUGAGAGCACUUCAUAAGGCGGUGUAGGGACCUCAAUCGAUGGUGUUGGCUGCAGCUAUUGGUAGAAUUAAGCAGGUUUUGAAGAGAUAGUCUAAACACAACUGAAAACUAAUGAGAGUGAUGUUGAAGAAGGAGUUGGGUUUCAUGGUGUUGUUGAUAAGAUGGAUCUACCAGAUUAUUCUCUCCUAAUGGAUAUAGAUCAUGGAAAGUUUGAUGUUGAUGUCAAUACCCAUUUCAAAGGGAGGCAGGAAUAUCGUGCAUCUUAUUUAAGAGAUACAGUAGGAAGACAAUUGUCUUCACCUUAGAGAAACUCUCCUGCACUAUAGCAAAUGAGUAUGUGAUUUGGAUUUGUAAUAGUGGUAAUUAUACCACUUCUUAUUAGUACUUUUAUGUAUAUACAAGUCAGGUUAUGGUGAAAAAAUAUUUAGUUAUAUAGGCCCUAAUAUGUAAUAGGGGGUUCCUUUGUUUAUAUUGUAAGCUUUUUGGUUGUGUAUAAAA